rnacentral:tRNA from 1 species
GGGCUAUUAGCUCACAUGGUUAGAGCGCACCCCUGAUAAGGGUGAGGUAUCCAGCUCAAAUCUGGAAUAGCCCA